rnacentral:rRNA from 1 species
UUUUAUGAGAGUUUGAUCCUGGCUCAGGACGAACGCUGGCGGCGUGCCUAAUACAUGCAAGUCGAACGCUUCUUUUUCCACCGGAGCUUGCUCCACCGGAAAAAGAAGAGUGGCGAACGGGUGAGUAACACGUGGGUAACCUGCCCAUCAGAAGGGGAUAACACUUGGAAACAGGUGCUAAUACCGUAUAACAAUCAAAACCGCAUGGUUUUGAUUUGAAAGGCGCUUUCGGGUGUCGCUGAUGGAUGGACCCGCGGUGCAUUAGCUAGUUGGUGAGGUAACGGCUCACCAAGGCCACGAUGCAUAGCCGACCUGAGAGGGUGAUCGGCCACAUUGGGACUGAGACACGGCCCAAACUCCUACGGGAGGCAGCAGUAGGGAAUCUUCGGCAAUGGACGAAAGUCUGACCGAGCAACGCCGCGUGAGUGAAGAAGGUUUUCGGAUCGUAAAACUCUGUUGUUAGAGAAGAACAAGGAUGAGAGUAACUGUUCAUCCCUUGACGGUAUCUAACCAGAAAGCCACGGCUAACUACGUGCCAGCAGCCGCGGUAAUACGUAGGUGGCAAGCGUUGUCCGGAUUUAUUGGGCGUAAAGCGAGCGCAGGCGGUUUCUUAAGUCUGAUGUGAAAGCCCCCGGCUCAACCGGGGAGGGUCAUUGGAAACUGGGAGACUUGAGUGCAGAAGAGGAGAGUGGAAUUCCAUGUGUAGCGGUGAAAUGCGUAGAUAUAUGGAGGAACACCAGUGGCGAAGGCGGCUCUCUGGUCUGUAACUGACGCUGAGGCUCGAAAGCGUGGGGAGCAAACAGGAUUAGAUACCCUGGUAGUCCACGCCGUAAACGAUGAGUGCUAAGUGUUGGAGGGUUUCCGCCCUUCAGUGCUGCAGCUAACGCAUUAAGCACUCCGCCUGGGGAGUACGACCGCAAGGUUGAAACUCAAAGGAAUUGACGGGGGCCCGCACAAGCGGUGGAGCAUGUGGUUUAAUUCGAAGCAACGCGAAGAACCUUACCAGGUCUUGACAUCCUUUGACCACUCUAGAGAUAGAGCUUCCCCUUCGGGGGCAAAGUGACAGGUGGUGCAUGGUUGUCGUCAGCUCGUGUCGUGAGAUGUUGGGUUAAGUCCCGCAACGAGCGCAACCCUUAUUGUUAGUUGCCAUCAUUCAGUUGGGCACUCUAGCAAGACUGCCGGUGACAAACCGGAGGAAGGUGGGGAUGACGUCAAAUCAUCAUGCCCCUUAUGACCUGGGCUACACACGUGCUACAAUGGGAAGUACAACGAGU